GCCGCCUCCCUUUGGGACGCCCCUCCUCGCCUCCACCCCAUGUGCCCUUGACCACCUCCCGCUCACCUCCCGCUCUUCUCAUCUCCGACCCCGCCGAGCUACGUUGUGAUCCUCUUUUUUUCUCUUCAAACCUCCUCCGCCGCCUCUGCGGCCCUUUGCGACUCAUCUCCAUCUCCACUUCCACCUCCACCUCUACCUCCACUGUAGCAGAUUUUUCACCUACCAAACCCACUUCUGGAAACUCAUCGUCCUCACCAUUGCCGACG
rnacentral:lncRNA from 1 species